ACGGAUGCCUCGAAGAUUCUUUUACUUCGUCUUGAUAGUCGCUUUGAUAAGGUGAAACGGCGCUUGGCCCAGGACGUCACCGACUCCGGCGGGGCCGAGUCAGUUCUUGGAUAACUGUCGAAAUUGUGGUACUAAUGCAUGGGUCGAACCCACGAACUGUACGUGAUGGGCGCUAGCUUAUGAUGAAAACUUACCGACUUUUCCUCGCCCUUUGGUGAAAUUGAAAAACUUUCUCCUUAUCGCAAGGGCAAGCCCCCACGACACCCACUUCUCACGGGGAACGUAACAACUUUCCUGGGCGGCUUAGUGUGCCACGGGGGUUUUGACGGACAUCUAAGGAUCAGGGUUCGAUUCCGGAGACAAAGCCUUGUGAAUGAAUACCACUUGUACCGAUAGGAACUUGGACGCCAACCGCCCACUGGCGCAAGACCGAGGUAGUGGCGAAAGUAACGAUCGUUAUACCCAAUUAAAGGCACGGAUAUCUGCACGAAUACACUUUAAAUCAUGUUCCCCAGGAACAAGAAUAGGGCAAGAGCUGUCCCUGUGUCCACGCUAAUUGCGUCUGGGCUGGGUGAUAUUUCCCGUUUGCAGGUUAAUUAGCUCGCAGUUGGAUCUCCUGGUUCGGCCCUUCCGUCAAUUCCUUACGUUACUGCCCCUGCAAUGAUAGUGCUUCGACAGACGCAAGACUGUGAUCUUCCUGAAUUGGCUCGGAGGGUCAUGGGGAUUACUUUCGAAAAAAUCUAUAGUGUGGCAACGCUUGCUGGUCAGAACUUGCAACUCUGUCCGAUGGAAUUUUGGACCUAGCGACUUUCGUUCUUUUUUGAAUGGUUACCUUCAUGGGGAAUGCUGUUUAAUUUGGGUCCGGUCUGGGGCCGGUUCCAAUAUUUCCACACAAGUGAACAUUCUUUGGACCGCCCUCAAGACUACCUACCUGCAUCAGCGUCUCCCCAUUCAAAGUGUAAACUCAACUAAGAACAAACGGAAUACGUUUCCAAUGCCGUCCCAGAUUGCCGCCAUUACAUGCCUAACCGUGUGACCUGCUUCUCGCAACUACGCGAUAUUCUGUAUGUAAAGUAGUAAUACGCUUUCUCGGUCCACUCC
rnacentral:rRNA from 1 species